ensembl:snRNA U6 U6 spliceosomal RNA
GUGCUCACUUCAGUAUCACAUGUACUAAAACUGGAACCAUACAGAGAAGAUUCGCUUGGCCCUUGUGCAAACAUGACACCCAAAUUUGGGAAGUGUUCCAUAUUUAA